AGUGAGGGUUGGUUUGAUUUGUCGCAAUACGUGGAUAUAACAUUUGGUGCAUGGCCUCGGGAGUACUAGUUAGUGAAAUAUGUUGAGGGGUAGAAGGUCGGCUUCUUUGGCUUUCCACUCUCUCCAAUAUCCCACCAAUUAUUGACACUUCACCCUUCAUUGAUACCACAUUCGAGUCUAGUUUUUCAAUACCCUUGGUCAUCCUAGCCAUGUCUCGGGACAUAGCUUCAAGGCGAG
rnacentral:lncRNA from 1 species